rnacentral:rRNA from 1 species
UGGGGAAUAUUGCACAAUGGGCGCAAGCCUGAUGCAGCCAUGCCGCGUGUAUGAAGAAGGCCUUCGGGUUGUAAAGUACUUUCAGUCGGGAGGAAGGUGUCAAGGUUAAUAACCUUGGCAAUUGACGUUACCGACAGAAGAAGCACCGGCUAACUCCGAGCCAGCAGCCGCGGUAAUACGGAGGGUGCAAGCGUUAAUCGGAAUUACUGGGCGUAAAGCGCACGCAGGCGGUUGAUUGAGUCAGAUGUGAAAUCCCCGGGCUUAACCCGGGAAUUGCAUCUGAUACUGGUCAGCUAGAGUCUUGUAGAGGGGGGUAGAAUUCCAUGUGUAGCGGUGAAAUGCGUAGAGAUGUGGAGGAAUACCGGUGGCGAAGGCGGCCCCCUGGACAAAGACUGACGCUCAGGUGCGAAAGCGUGGGGAGCAAACAGG